CCUACGGGAGGCAGCAGUGGGGAAUUUUGGACAAUGGGGGCAACCCUGAUCCAGCAAUGCCGCGUGAGUGAAGAAGGCCUUCGGGUUGUAAAGCUCUUUUGUCAGGGAAGAAACAGCAGCUCUAGCACAGUCUGCGAAUGACGGUACCUGAAGAAUAAGCACCGGCUAACUACGUGCCAGCAGCCGCGGUAAUACGUAGGGUGCGAGCGUUAAUCGGAAUUACUGGGCGUAAAGCGUGCGCAGGCGGUUAUACAAGACAGGCGUGAAAUCCCCGGGCUUAACCUGGGAAUGGCGUCUGUGACUGUAUAGCUAGAGUGUGUCAGAGGGGGGUGGAAUUCCACGUGUAGCAGUGAAAUGCGUAGAUAUGUGGAGGAACACCAAUGGCGAAGGCAGCCCCCUGGGAUAACACUGACGCUCAUGCACGAAAGCGUGGGGAGCAAACAGGAUUAGAUACCCUGGUAGUCCACGCCCUAAACGAUGCUGACUAGUUGUUGGGAAUUUACAUUCUCAGUAACGUAGCUAACGCGUGAAGUCAGCCGCCUGGGGAGUACGGUCGCAAGAUUAAAACUCAAAGGAAUUGACGG
rnacentral:rRNA from 1 species